CCCGGUGGCUCCGCGGUAAAGCAUCUGCCUGCAAUGCAGGAGACACAGGUUCAAUCCCUGGUCCAGG
rnacentral:tRNA from 1 species